rnacentral:tRNA from 4 species
GCCUUCCUAGCACAAAUGGUAGUGCAGCUGACUUGUAAUCAGUAUGUUGGGGGUUCGAGUCCCUCGGUUGGCACCA